CCCCAGAGAUGCCAGAGAAGGUGCUGGGCACAGCGAGGGAUGCUGGCCUUGCCACCCUCAGGCAAGGAAGUUACAGAACUAUUAUAGGAACAGUGGAUCAUCUUCAGGUAUGACGAACAAAAAGCAAUAGGUGUAUGGUUGCACAGGUGUCAGUGUGCUGAGGAGGUCUGAGUAAAAGAUUAGGACGCCCUGAUAAAUGUUGAGCCCCUAUCUACUUUUCUUAGAGAAGGAUUCCUAGGACAAGUAGGUACUGAAGGUGUCAGUGUUGGGGAUGGAGAGUCAUAGUGGUGAUAAGCCUGGUAAGUAACCUCACCAGGACGUGCCAAAGACAGGUCAGCGAGGGAAGGGACUGUGGAAGCAAGGUAAGGGGAGGUGAAGUUGUAGUGGAAUUUGGGAGGUGCUUACUGAUCUUCUUGCAGGCCCUACAAAUGUUAUUCAAACCUCUGGGCAAAUGUAUUAGUCACUUGACCCUCCACGAACUCCUCCAAGGACUUCAGGGAUUAACGCUGUUGCCACCUGGCUCCUCAGAGCGGCCAGUCACCGUGGUGCUUCAGAAUCAGUUUGGAAUAUCUUUGCUCUAUGCCCUGCUGAGCCAUGGGGAGCAACUGGUAUCGCUGCAUUCUUCCCUAGAGGAACCCAACAGUGACCAUACAGCUUGGUAAGAUCAUAAAGGCCUUGUAAAUACUAUCUAGUACCCUCGGGAUGUGCAGACUGAGCCAGGUGAGGUAUUUCCUGAGGCAUUUUCAAGUACUGAGGAAGAGGUUGGAUAGAGAAAGUAGUAGCAGUGUUGUAGCUGUUCUGCUUUUUUUCUAUAGUGCCCUAGAGUUUCGGUUUCUUCUAGGAGGCAGUAUAACAUAGUACCUAAGGGGACAAGCUUUAGAGUUUAAAAAGACCUACGUUUGAAUUCUGGCUGUAUCACUUACUAGCAAUAUAACUUUAGGGCAAGUUCUUUCACUUCUCACUUCUCUUAGUUUGUUUCUUUAUCUACAAACUAGGGAUGAUGGUAUUAACCCCUCAUAGUUCUUAAGAUUAAAUAGGAAGGGAAAUGUGUAAAGCACUAAGCAUUGCUUGGCACGUACCAAACAUGCAAAUGUUACCUCUGAAUUGCUACCUGGGGGUGGGGGACAAUGGUAGUAGUAACGGAAAGAUAAUAAGAAACCUUGGCCCUGAGUCUGUUUCUUAAGCAAAUCUAUUUGCUUAUAUUUAUAUUUAUGCUCUCUAGGACAGACAUGGUGGUUCUGAUUGCCUGGGAGAUAGCCCAAAUGCCUACAGCCUCUCUGGCAGAACCCCUAGCUUUCCCCAGCAACCUACUUCCCCUGUUCUGUCACCACGUGGACAAGCAAUUGGUUCAGCAGCUGGAGGCCAGGAUGGAGUUUGCCUGGAUUUACUGAUCUGUUUGUUCUGGAAUACGUGUAUGUGGGAAGUUGAAUCAUCAGACACUAGCUACAUAGAGUAUGUUUACA
rnacentral:lncRNA from 1 species